rnacentral:lncRNA from 1 species
CUUUUAGUAACAGCAUGUUUAGAUCAUCAAUGGGGUUAGUAGCACGAAAUAUGGAGGGGCAGGUGCUAUUUUCCUGUUCGAUGCUCUAUGAAAACACUCCGUCGAGCUUCACUAUCGAAGUGAUUGUUUGUCUCCGUGCAGUGCAAGUGGGUUUGGAGAGAGGUUGGCUGGAAGUAACAGUAGAAGGGGAUGCGUUAGUUAUCAUAAAAAAAUGUCUGUCAUCAACCUUAGAUAAAUCUCAAUUAAGUGCUUACAUUCAUGACAUUCAAAGCUAAAGAGUUAGAUUUCAGCAUAUUGACUUUUUUCACACACCCAGAUCGACGAAUAGGCAAGUGAACCUCUUAGCGACAGAAUCAUUGAAAAGAAAUGAGGAAUAUUACCUAGAAGGAGGAGUUCCAGUAUUUACUGAGAGGUUGAUGGUAGGGAAAAAGUUGUAUGAGCCAAAGUAAAGUAGAUCGGAGAAGGGAAAGGAAGAAAUGAGAGAAAUUAUUUUUUGGAUUAAAUGUGAGUUGUUUUCUCUCUGUGCACUGAACCAUCUAAGACUAAAAUGAUUGAAAU